rnacentral:rRNA from 1 species
UACGUAGGGUGCAAGCGUUAAUCGGAAUUACUGGGCGUAAAGCGUGCGCAGGCGGUUGUGCAAGACAGAUGUGAAAUCCCCGGGCUUAACCUGGGAAUUGCAUUUGUGACUGCAUGGCUGGAAUGCGGCAGAGGGGGAUGGAAUUCCGCGUGUAGCAGUGAAAUGCGUAGAUAUGCGGAGGAACACCGAUGGCGAAGGCAAUCCCCUGGGCCUGCAUUGACGCUCAUGCACGAAAGCGUGGGGAGCGAACAGG